rnacentral:rRNA from 1 species
AUUGAACGCUGGCGGCAUGCCUUACACAUGCAAGUCGAACGGCAGCACGGGAGCACUCCUGGUGGCGAGUGGCGAACGGGUGAGUAAUGCAUCGGAACGUGCCCAGUCGUGGGGGAUAACGUAGCGAAAGCUACGCUAAUACCGCAUACGCACUAUGGAUGAAAGCGGGGGAUCGCACGACCUCGCGCGGUUGGAGCGGCCGAUAGCAGAUUAGGUAGUUGGUGGGGUAAAGGCUCACCAAGCCGAAGAUCUGUAGCUGGUCUGAGAGGACGACCAGCCACACUUGGACUGAGACCCAGCCCAGACUCCGACGGGAGGCAGCAGUGAGGAAUUUUGGACAAUGGGCGCAAGCCUGAUCCAGCAAGGACUCGGGAAGGAUGAAGGCCUUCGGGUUGUAAACUGCUUUUAGACGGAACGAAACGGCGAGCUUUAAUACAGUUUGCUUAUGACGGCACCGUAAGAAUAAGCACCGGCUAACGACGUGCCAGCAGCCGCCGUAA